rnacentral:rRNA from 1 species
CCUACGGGGGGCUGCAGUGGGGAAUAUUGCACAAUGGGCGCAAGCCUGAUGCAGACAUGCCGCGUGUGUGAAGAAGGCCUUCGGGUUGUAAAGCACUUUCAGCGGGGAGGAAGGCGGUGAGGUUAAUAACCUCAUCGAUUGACGUUACCCGCAGAAGAAGCACCGGCUAACUCCGUGCCAGCAGCCGCGGUAAUACGGAGGGUGCAAGCGUUAAUCGGAAUUACUGGGCGUAAAGCACACGCAGGCGGUCUGUCAAGUCGGAUGCGAAAUCCCCGGGCUCAACCUGGGAACUGCAUUCGAAACUGGCAGGCUAGAGUCUUGUAGAGGGGGGUAGAAUUCCAGGUGUAGCGGUGAAAUGCGUAGAGAUCUGGAGGAAUACCGGUGGCGAAGGCGGCCCCCUGGACAAAGACUGACGCUCAGGUGCGAAAGCGUGGGGAGCAAGCAGGAUUAGAUACCCGAGUAGUC